GACCCCGUGAACCUUUACUAUAGCUUGACACUGAACAUUGAGCCUUGAUGUGUAGGAUAGGUGGGAGGCUUUGAAGUGUGGACGCCAGUCUGCAUGGAGCCGACCUUGAAAUACCACCCUUUAAUGUUUGAUGUUCUAACGUGGACCCGUAAUCCGGGUUGCGGACAGUGUCUGGUGGGUAGUUUGACUGGGGCGGUCUCCUCCUAAAGAGUAACGGAGGAGCACGAAGGUUGGCUAAUCCUGGUCGGACAUCAGGAGGUUAGUGCAAUGGCAUAAGCCAGCUUGACUGCGAGCGUGACGGCGCGAGCAGGUGCGAAAGCAGGUCAUAGUGAUCCGGUGGUUCUGAAUGGAAGGGCCAUCGCUCAACGGAUAAAAGGUACUCCGGGGAUAACAGGCUGAUACCGCCCAAGAGUUCAUAUCGACGGCGGUGUUUGGCACCUCGAUGUCGGCUCAUCACAUCCUGGGGCUGAAGUAGGUCCCAAGGGUAUGGCUGUUCGCCA
rnacentral:rRNA from 1 species